GUAUUGAUUGCGUGUGACCGCAAAAAUAACAUUCUACACUGUAUCAAGUUUUGUGUGAAAACGUGAGCCCUCCUGCAAAGGGGACCCACGCGGUGAUGCACAAGGGGUGAAAUGGAUGUGUGAGAGUGCUCAGGCGUGCACGACCUUUUGAAAGGUCAGCGACAGCCCUCGCGCCUCGGUUUUACGAUAAUGAUCCUUCCGCAGGUUCACCUACGGAAA
rnacentral:misc_RNA from 1 species